rnacentral:miRNA from 14 species
CGCAGUUUUUUGUAGUGUGCUCCG